rnacentral:rRNA from 1 species
CCAUUAGAUGUUCUGGGCCGCACGCGUGCUACACUGAGUAAAUCAAUGGGUAAGGGAACACGAAAGUGCAACCUAAUCUUGAAAUUUGCUCGUGAUGGGGAUCGACGGUUGCAAUUUUCCGUCGUGAACGAGGAAUACCUUGUAGGCGCGUGUCAUCAUCACGCGCCGAAUACGUCCCUGCCCUUUGUACACACCGCCCGUCGCUCCUACCGAUUGAGUGAUCCGGUGAGGCUCUGGGACCUGGACGGAAAGAGCGUUUCGCUUGUUCUGUUUGGGAAACUUGGUCGAACCUUAUCAUUUAGAGGAAGGAGAAGUCGUAACA